AGGGGUCUAUUUAUAGCAAAU
rnacentral:snRNA from 1 species